GUUUAUGGAAAGUGCCAUACCAUCCUGCAAGCACCUGAUUCCAUCUGAUUUCAGAAGCUAAGCAGGGUUGAGCCUGGUUGGUACUUGAAUGAGAGACUGCCUGGUAAUACCAGGUUCUGUAGGCU
rnacentral:rRNA from 12 species